ACCAAUGGGCCUUACUGGCUCUAGUUGGACUCAUCUAGCUUUUUAUCAGCAUUCUCUGCUCGUGAGCCCAGAAGCUGCAUUUCAGCCUUUCUCAUAAGACAUCGGCUGGUCACCUGCAGUGAUGAGGAAGGAACUGUCUGUUGUGAACUUCUAGCAUAUGGUGCUGCAGGAAGCUGUGGACAAUGAUAGCAUCACCAGAUUCAAAAGUUAGAUGAAUUUACGUACCACGACUGCAUAAAUGGAUACCUGAAGCAUAGGGGAGGUUACUACUGAUCAACACCCUAAUUCAUGAAAUCUUGUUGCUGGAGAAGGGAACAGACUGUAGGAAGUGUCUGAGCUUGUGGUAUUCCUGGAAAACAUUUUUGCUGGGCUUGAUGGGCCAUUGGCCUGAACACACAGGAUAUUCAUUAAGUUUUUGUGUGUCUGAUAGAGUCCUAAGCCCACAUAGAAGGCAAAAACUAGAAUAUGAACUGGAAGUAGUGAUAAAUAAAAACACCAGCUUCCCUAGUUAUACCUUUUCUGUAUCAAAGGCAAUAAGCAGUUUCUCCCAAACAUUGGUCAGGAACGAAUGUAAAACUAAGAGGUCAUGGAUGAAACCAUAUUAAGAUCACUGCUUGAAGACAGGAUUAUAGAUUUUUCUUAGCUUGCCCUUGUAUAGAAUUUUGAGCUGCGUGUUUAACCACAGCUAAUAGAGAAACUAAGUGAAAAGGUGACAAUUUUAUUUUACAGAGAAUCCUGUAAAUUGGCUUAAAUGUAAACUGUUAAUUAGAUUUUCUUCUGUGACAAUAAAGCAUCUACCAUUUCAGUACUAUGCUACACGUGUAUUCAGUUAAAUGAUGAAAUGUAGAAUAAAGUGCCUGUUUAAAAGGGGGG